rnacentral:rRNA from 1 species
GAUGAACGCUGGCGGCGUGCCUAAUACAUGCAAGUCGAGCGAACGGACGAGAAGCUUGCUUCUCUGAUGUUAGCGGCGGACGGGUGAGUAACACGUGGAUAACCUACCUAUAAGACUGGGAUAACUUCGGGAAACCGGAGCUAAUACCGGAUAAUAUUUUGAACCGCAUGGUUCAAAAGUGAAAGACGGUCUUGCUGUCACUUAUAGAUGGAUCCGCGCUGCAUCAGCUAGUUGGUAAGGUAACGGCUUACCAAGGCAACGAUGCAUAGCCGACCUGAGAGGGUGAUCGGCCACACUGGAACUGAGACACGGUCCAGACUCCUACGGGAGGCAGCAGUAGGGAAUCUUCCGCAAUGGGCGAAAGCCUGACGGAGCAACGCCGCGUGAGUGAUGAAGGUCUUCGGAUCGUAAAACUCUGUUAUUAGGGAAGAACAUAUGUGUAAGUAACUGUGCACAUCUUGACGGUACCUAAUCAGAAAGCCACGGCUAACUACGU